CGGACUUCUGUACCAGAAUCCUGGCACAGAGGCGACUACUCUCACUUUGUGUAAUAACACACACGUAUCGGCACAUAUUCCGGGGUGCCCUUCGGGGUCGGUAAUAUGGGAUACGUGGAGGCAUAACC
rnacentral:sRNA from 1 species